CGGCCAGUGGCAUAGUAGUCUAACGCAUCUUCGUAUCAAGGAGACGGUCGCAGGUUUGAAUCCCGCUUGGUUGG
rnacentral:tRNA from 1 species